UCUGUUGCUACUUGCUAACACCUCUGCACUUUGUAUAUACGAAUUGUAUUUCCCGGGGGUGCCCUUGACAAUUAAGUUGCGAAGAUAUUCUCCGAAAGCAAAACUGCCGAGCUGUUGUUCCUCUCGGAAACGAGGUUUGGAUUGGCGGUCGACAAAGUUGGUAAGUCUGAGGGGCUUGUGUAAGUUGAGUUCCAGUUUUUUCCAAGUUUUCUACAAUUUUUUAGUUACAAAAUAUUCUACUUUAUUCAGUCAAUUUUCAUAAGUUCACUCGUUAAAACAGUCAAUUAGGUCAAUGCCAUAUUAUUUGCUGAUUUUUUUUAUAUUCUAAUUACAGUUAUUUUUUACUCGGGUAUAACUUUAGAAAACUUCAAUUCUUCUCCAAGUGAAAAACUAAUAAUAAUUUCGUUCCUCAAAAAAAAUAAAAAAUUCUACGAUUUUCGAAUUUUGAAAUUCAGAAUGAAAAAAAUUGCACCAAAUUAAUAUUAUAAGUGCAAGUUUUGAAAAAAAAAAAGAAUCCUUGGAACUCAAUAUUGGAUCGAAAAUCAAAAGUUAUACGUAUCCAAUUUCCAUUUAGAGGGUGUUUGGCUAAACUUAUUUUAAAUAGCUGAUAAGCUCUUACGUCUGAUAAGAUGUUUUUAGAGCUGAUAAGCUGUUACAUUUUAUUUUUAGGAUAAUUUUUAGAGUGUUUAGAUAAUGAGCUUAUUUCCUAUUUUUAUUCAUUAUAAGAUCUUAAAUAAAAAGGUGGAGUAGAGUUACUUAUUUAAAAAGAUCUUAUUUGCUCUCCAACAGCUUAUUUUAAAAAAAAUUAAGAUCUUUUUAAAAAAAUUACCAAACACUUUGGAAGAGCUUAUAAGCUCUAAAACAUCUUAUAAGCUCUUUUUAACAUCUUAUAAGCUUAGCCAAACACCCUCUGUUAAGUGUAUAUUUUUACACUUUAUCGUAUCUUUUUAUUUGAUCUUUUUGUGUGAGUUAACGAUAAUUGGUGGUUAAAAAGUUGAUUCAUUGUAUUUUAGGUAUAAAUUGAAGAAGUGGAAAAGUUUGAGGUCAAAACUGCAAAUUUGGAGAAAAUAUGGGCCAAAAGUGAAAUAAUCAAAAAUAUGCUGAAAUUGGCUGAAAACAGGCCCGCACGGCCGUGCCAAAAUUAGCCUAUUUUGGCACGGCCGUGCCAAAUGCUGAAUUUGGGCAGAAGGUUCGGCGAUUCUCGCGCGGCCGUGCGAGAAUUGCACUGAUUUUCGCGCGGCCGUGCCAAAUCACGUUGGAGGCAAUUUUGGACUUUUAAACACACAAGGAAACCUAGAAUCAUCUACCAAGUUGGGACAUCUAUUUAAGCCCAAACCAAGCACGAAUCACGGGGGACUUUUGACACAACCUUGGAGGGAGAGGAGCGAGAGAACGAAGAAUCGAAGACGGAGAAUUGACAAAUCUUCAUCAUAAUUCUUCUUUCACCUAUCUUUUCUUAAUCUAUGACUUUUAUUACGUUUAUUAUGUUUUUCGUUAUGAUUAGCU
rnacentral:lncRNA from 1 species